AGUCGGAGGAAUCCCUUGAGUGAGCCCUCGGAGGCACCCCUGUCAGACAUCACAGAAGAGGAAAAGUGCUCAACACUGUAGCAGUUGGGAAAAGCAAAAUCAGGAAGCUUCAAGAGAAAAGAACGAAAAUGUGACAGACAGCAUAAAAAUUAAUCAAACCAUGCUGAAUAUAAGGGGAAUAUUUGACUAACCCACUCUUCGGUACAGUGACAACUAAAAUAGACGGUCUUGUAUCCAAUGCUGCAUGAGCAGAGUUCAAUGUGUUAAUGGAAGCCCACUGUGCAAACGUAACACCACAAAUGGGUUAUCAUUUGAUGACUAGGAACUUGGAAGUUGACUUAAUCCAAGUCAGAACAUUUACAAUUCUGCUUCUGUGAUCGACACAUCUUGUUCAGUAUACUCUACACUGACUGGCAGUAGCUCUCUGGGACUUCAGAGAAGACUCUUUCCAAUCCUACAUGGCGAUGCCAGGGAUUAAAUAUGGAAACUUCUGCAGACAAAGCAAUUGUUCCAACAUCUGAAAACUGCAGGCAACAGCCACAAAACUGUACAUGAAUGGCCUUCUUACUGAGCUAAUUCUCUUAACUAAUUAUGUAAAAUGUGUCUGAAAUUCUGGCUAACACUAUACAAGCACUGGAUUAUGCAAGAAUGGUCUUCAGUAAAAUCACUAAUUGGCUAUAGUGUUAUCCCUACUCCUUUCCUAUUAUAAGUAUUCUAAUGAGUGGAAACCUGAACAUUCUAACACUACACAAUUAUACAGAAUCCUCAAGACCCAUAAUUUUGGGAGAUAUGCUUAACUCCCACUCCUCCCCCUGUCCCCUGAAAUAAUGACCUCAGGAACCUACUGCUUAGUGAAUACACUCAGCAGAACAUUUGGUUAUUUUAGUAGAAUUCUUCAAUAAAGUGAAAUAUUAAAACCUAAUAUGCCAAUAUCAGCUACCUUGCAAUAUAUGCGUAUACGUUGCUUUAUAUAAAGGCAAAUAUCAACAGGCUUAUAUACAUAUUGCUACUUUUAAGUCAUUGAACUACUUCCUGAACACCUACUGCAAACUGAGUGUUUUCCACUACAUCCAGAAAAUAAUCAACAUUUCCAUUCUCAUAGAAUACAAAAUGUAGAUGUAGAGAAGUCUCUGAACCUUAAUCUGUAAUACAAACUGCAUCUCCUUCUACAUAAAAUAAGCAACUGAAAUAAGGAACUAUCUGUGGAAUGGAAGAAAACUUAUGGUCCUUGUGAGAGCAAUAUAGUUUUAGAUACAUCAGCAGAUCCUGACUAAUGAAUUAAACUAGAUUCAGUUGUCAUGAAUACUUCUGGCUACAAUUAAGAAAUUGACAUUCUUAAGAAAUGCAACGUUAGAAAAACAAGGGGACAAUACCCAAGUACUGGAAGGCAAUUAAUACUAUCCACCAUUGCUCCACCAGGCCGGUUGCUUGGCCUCAAAGUCAGAAAGCUUCCUAAAUCUGGAAACAUGACUCCUUUAUUCUUCCCAAUGAAGAGUUAUUGACCCCAGAGAAAUAAUCAAGCCAUGCUGACCAAAGUACUGUACUUAGAGUCAACUUUAUUUGACACAAACCAAGAUGGCAAUAAUAUGGAAGGGCAUUACAGGAAGUAUUUACAAAGAUUUACAAUGUCUGCGUAAAGCAAAAAUAUAUUAUUUCAAAAACUCCAGGUUAAAAAAAGCUGUGUCAUCUUAAUUUGGAAUUUCAAUGUACAAUAAGCUCAACUAUAGUAUGUUAUGAGAUUUGAUACAUUAUU